rnacentral:rRNA from 1 species
GACGAACGCUGGCGGCGUGCUUAACACAUGCAAGUCGAACGAUGAACCCGGAGCUUGCUCCGGCGGAUUAGUGGCGAACGGGUGAGUAACACGUGAGUAACCUGCCCUUGACUCUGGGAUAACUGCGGGAAACUGUAGCUAAUACCGGAUACGACCCUCGGCGGCAUCGCCAGGGGGUGGAAAGAAUUCCGGUCAAGGAUGGACUCGCGGCCUAUCAGCUAGUUGGUGAGGUAACGGCUCACCAAGGCGACGACGGGUAGCCGGCCUGAGAGGGUGACCGGCCACACUGGGACUGAGACACGGCCCAGACUCCUACGGAAGGCAGCAGUGGGGAAUAUUGCACAAUGGGCGCAAGCCUGAUGCAGCAACGCCGCGUGAGGGAUGACGGCCUUCGGGUUGUAAACCUCUUUUAGUAGGGAAGAAGCGAAAGUGACGGUACCUGCAGAAAAAGCACCGGCUAACUACGUGCCAGCCGCCGCGGUAA